rnacentral:misc_RNA from 1 species
UACGGAGGGGGCUAGCGUUGUUCGGAAUUACUGGGCGUAAAGGGCGCGUAGGCGGCUUGUUUAGUUGGGCGUGAAAGCCCCGGGCUCAACCCGGGAUGUGCGUUCAAUACUGGCAGGCUUGAGUCCGGGAGAGGAUGGUGGAAUUCCCAGUGUAGAGGUGAAAUUCGUAGAUAUUGGGAAGAACACCGGUGGCGAAGGCGGCCAUCUGGACCGGCACUGACGCUGAGGCGCGAAAGCGUGGGGAGCAAACAGG